CAGCAGCCGCGGGAAUACAGAGGGUGCAAGCGUUAAUCGGAAUUACUGGGCGUAAAGCGCGCGUAGGUGGUUUGUUAAGUUGGAUGUGAAAUCCCCGGGCUCAACCUGGGAACUGCAUCCAAAACUGGCAAGCUAGAGUAUGGUAGAGGGUGGUGGAAUUUCCUGUGUAGCGGUGAAAUGCGUAGAUAUAGGAAGGAACACCAGUGGCGAAGGCGACCACCUGGACUGAUACUGACACUGAGGUGCGAAAGCGUGGGGAGCAAACAGGAUUAGAGACCCGCGUAGUCCUUGUCUCUUAUAA
rnacentral:rRNA from 1 species